UGUAUACGGAUCGCAUGGUCUGUAUACCAAAGAUUUUAUCGCUGAAAGAUGGGCUCGCGUAUGAUUAGAUAGUUGGUGAGGUAACGGCUCACCAAGUCGACGAUCAUUUAGCCGGACUGAGAGGUUGAACGGCCACAUUGGGACUGAGACACGGCCCAGACUCCUACGGGAGGCAGCAGUGAGGAAUAUUGGGCAAUGGGCGCAAGCCUGACCCAGCAAUGCCGCGUGAAGGAUGAAGGUUUUCGGAUUGUAAACUUCUUUUGUCAAGGACGAUAAUGACGGUACUUGACGAAUAAGCCACGGCUAACUACGUG
rnacentral:rRNA from 1 species